GCGCACGUCCACUGUAUGCAGUGUGGAAACCUGGGUUCCGUUUCAUUCCUAACGUGCUUUUUUUUGUUCCAAGUGUUUCACGAGCGUAUCGCCGGCAACCCGAGACAGCGGAAAUGACGAUGUUGAGAAACAGCCGUGAACCACCAGCGUUUUUAUUGCAUUUUUAUUGAAUGUUCCAGUCAGUCGCCGAGACUGGAUUUGAACAUGAUCGUCUGCAUAAGACAUGAGAGUGAAGACGGGAUUACAGACUGAUGAAGCAGAGUGUCUGAGCUCCGAGCUCCUAACCUGGACCAGACCACCGGAGGAGGCAGACGCUGGACCGCUAAACAUGGAUGUAUCAAAAACAAAUUAACACACAAAAAAAAGAGAGAGUCUUUAUACAAAAAAAAGAAAGGAAAAAAAAAAAAGCUUGUCAAUAUUCUAUUUUACAGUUGUCAAAAUCCCAAAACGGGUAAUUAUCCCCAAAGCUCACCCCAUUCCCUCCUCUCAUUCUUUGUAAAAAAAAAAAAAAGAAAAAAAAAAGCAUGAAUUACUUGCAGCACUUUGCUAUUCCAAUACAUACAGCAGUUUGUCAUUGCUUUGUUUCUUUUUUUUUUUUUUUUUUUUUUUAAUAGUCAGUACAAAGCAGUUCGAAUGAUAAAGCAAACAUGGCAUUACAAACAUUUUUGUUCUUUUAAAGAAAAAAAAAAAGAAAACAAGAAA